UACGUAGGGGGCAAGCGUUGUCCGGAUUUAUUGGGCGUAAAGAGCGUGUAGGCGGCUUUACAGGUCCGUUGUGAAAACUCGAGGCUCAACCUCGAGACGCCGAUGGAAACCAUCUGGCUAGAGUCCGGAAGAGGAGAGUGGAAUUCCCGGUGUAGCGGUGAAAUGCGCAGAUAUCGGGAAGAACACCCGUGGCUAAGGCGGCUCUCUAGUACGGUACUGACGCUGAGACGCGAAAGCGUGGGGAGCGAACAGG
rnacentral:rRNA from 1 species